GGGUUUAUGGCGAUGAAGGCUUGCCGUUAUCAUUAGUGAUUCAGGUGGUGGUCAUAUAGCUUCAGUAAAGGUGAAUUCGAUUAGGUAAGGAUCAGAUAAAGGCUCAUCUUAAUUUUGCAUAGUGCUUGCAUGUUACUUGAUUGGCUGAUGUCUGUAGCUCCUGUAUCGUGCUGCUGCUUUUUCUAGUAGGCUUUGCUCUCCACCUAGAGAAAUGCUUCAUCUGAGGAUCUCCUACAGAACACCUCCACAACAUUAUUGAUUCUGGAAUCAGAGUCAGGUCUUACUUGUGGCGUGUUGCUACUGUUGUUUCCUAGGCUUUGUUUGACUUUGGGAGCGAGAUGAAGGCAUGGUAAGACCUUAGGAUCAGAAACUGUGACCCUUUGUAAUAGAGGCGAGUCUUAUGGUGUUCAACACAUGUGGAAUUAUAUUCUAACAGAGCAAUAGAAUUAUAUUCUAACAGUGAAGGCGAAAAGAUACCUUGAAGACAAGCAAGCUCUCUCAUUCACUCUUCUUUCGUCUGUGGUGUGGGACGAACUGCUCAAGCUAAGAACAGACAUUCCAAUGGUCAAGGUCGUUAGCUUGCUUGCCAAGUCUGCAAUUUUCAUCAUUGACUUGCUCAAGUUAAAUGUCUGGAUGUUGAUGCCCUCUUCACAUCUCACAUCCAAGUAAACCAAGUCCAGAAGCAAAGGCUCUCUCUGAAGAAUCAACCCUCUGCUUUCUGAUGUGUAGAUCGUUUGAUUCAGUAUGUGUCUUUGUUGGUGAAUAAAUCCAAAGGAGUUUAGAACAGCUUGAGCAUCAAUCUGAAAUUGAGAUUUAUGUUUCUGCGAAAAAAAAAUAUAUUUACAAUUG